UUUUCGCAUUUUUCGUCCUGAAGGAAUGGUUCUAGAGGUUUCUGAUGUUCUAGAAAGUUGUAGAUAAUUGCAAAACCUUUAAUUUGAUACAAAGUUGAGUCAAAUCGGACAAGCGGUUCAAGAGAUAUGGUUCUUAGAACUUUUCAAAUGCAAGAAUUAUUCAAAUGGCCAUAUCUUCUAAACGGCGACAUAGAUUUUCUUCAUUUUCGGACUGGUGACAGAUAUUGAGUCAGGCUACAACAUAUCAAAAUUUAAAGGAAAUCUAUAACAGAUGUUGGGAGAUAUUGCCUCUUAAAGUUAGGCAAUUUUUGUUUUUGAUUUUAGCGCCUCUUGCGGAUGUUUUUGGAACUUGGAAUGUUCUAUACAGUUGUAGGGCUUCUUGAAACCUUUCAUUUGAUACCAAGAUGAUCAAAAUCGGUCAAGCCGUUCUCGAGUUGUAUCGAAAAAACACUUUUUGCUUAAGGCCGCCAUAUUUGCUAAACCGCUUGACCGAUUGUCAAGUAUGAAUUGUUGAUGAAAACGUCUCUCUGAGCUCUACAACAUACUAAAAUUUCAGACCUCUAGCUAUAAGGGAAGUGAUUGAUAGUAUUUCAAAAUGGCGGACGGCGGCCAUCUUGGAUUUUGAAAAUGCGAAAAAAUGAAAUUUUACACCCAUAUUUCUAUAGAAAACUUCAAACCGGAAGUCUCUAUCUCUUACCGUUCGAAAGUUAUAAGGCAAAGUUUAGGCGACCGGCCGGCAGGCCGGCAGGCCGGCCGGCAGGCCGGCCGGAUCAAAAAUUUUCCACCACCAUUUUCGUAAUGUGGGAUGUCUAAAACGUGCUCAUACCAAGUUUGAACCCGAUCUGAGGUGGCCGGUUUUUCCGACGAUUACAAUACUUGGUGUUGGCCACGAAGUGGAACACCAACUAAUAAAAUGUGGAAGAUUUGCUCCAUUAAGGGAGACUGGGGUAAAAAAAUUAUUUUGGAAUUUUGAAAUGCCAAUUUCUUCAAACUUAUAAAUCGGAAAAACCUGAAAAAAUAGGGUGAGGAGCCCAACCAACCUCAAAUAUUUGACUGUAAUUUGGAGAAAAUAAAUUUUUGGCCCAUUUCCCAAACUUUUGCGAAUUGAGAAAAACGCGUUUUCCGAUACUUCCAAUCUGAUAAUUUUUCUCACUAGCUGGGUUAAUGUAGAAAACGUUGCCAAGCUGUAUUUUCUACUUACUUUUAAUGAUUUUUCUGUAUAAUUAUUUGAAUAUAAACAUACCCUUUGGGGUAAAUCGUGUCAACCCAUGUAAAUCAUAUGGAACUUCGAAAUUUUUAACAUAAAGUGAAAUUCCUUGUCGCGGAUCAAAAGGUUAGCUCAGGUGCAAAAUCAUUGGAAAUGUCGGAAAAUUCCACAGACUUUAUUUACCGCACUGGUGACUAUAUUUACCAGCCGAGUUUAAAAAAAGUCAUAAGCAGAAGGGUUCAAAAAAAGCUCGAAAACUCAUAUUUCCCGGGGAGAUAGAGAAAACCGGACAGAAACAAAGUUGUAGGUCAGCAAAUUUCCUAUGAAAAUGACCUAUCGAGGAAAUUUUCUUUUGCCUUUGGGGAAUCCUGCAGAUAAGGAUUUAUGCAAAUUUACUUUUUUUUUUUACCCCAGUCUCCCCUAUUAUCGAAAGUAAAGAUAAUGCGUCGAUUUUCAACACAAUUUUGUAACAUUUCAUACAAAUUCUAUAUUUUAUAACAAAAUUUUUGUUUUGAUUUUUUUUUACUUUUAAAACCUUUUAUUUUAAUUAUUUUUAUACUUUUCGUAAUACGUUAAUUUCAGACAACCUUGAGAAGUAAAAACGCCACAUAAAACGAGUAAAGAUGAAUGUGGAAGAGAUCUACCAAUUUUUAAUCCGGAAUGGUAUUACGGAGAGCGUGGCAACAAUAUUGAGAAGUUAGUUAUAUAUAAAAAAUAUAUAUAUAUGGAUUGUUAUAGAUGUAAUGUAGUUUGUACAUGCGUUGCAGAACUUAAAAAUCAUUUGAGAACGCAUCACAAUUUAGAAUUAGGAAAAGAGUGGUAUACCAAUAUUCAAUGUCCUAGAUGUAAAAAUGGAGUAUUCUUUUCAAGUUUAAAAAGUUAUGCUCAACAUAUAAAGAGACAUAAUCAAUCUAUUCCUAUAUGUUCAAAUCAAAAUAAUACUGAUGAUUUUAAUACGCCAGUACAAAAUGAAGAACAUUUAAUUAACACAUCUUCCUCUUCAGAAGAAUUAAUUUCACAAUCUUUUUUACGUAAAAAUAACGUUGAAGAGUACAUAAACAAAGAAUUCUGUACAUUAAGGUGCAAAACUAAUAUACCAGAGAGUCAAAUUCAAACUUUUCAUAGCGUAUGCACUGAAAUAACUAAAACAGUAAGUAAUUACGUAAAGAAUACGAACGCAGAUAAUGUCGAAGAACUCUUUAAAAGUUCAGCUACUUUUAAUAAACAAGUAAAAUUUUUUAAAAGCAGCGCUGAAUAUAUUAAAAAUCAGGAGAUUAUUCUUGGAACAAGAAAAGAGUAUGUUAAUCGUAAAAAUAAACGACUCUUAAUUGAGAGAAAAGAAACAUGCAGUUAUUUGUCAAUUAAAGAAACACUCAUUUCAUUGAUAAAAAAUGACAGUUUUCGGAAUUUAAUUAAUAAUGAGGAAACGAAUUAUAAUGAAAAUAUAAUAAAAUCGUUUAAAGACAGUGAAUCUUACAAGAAAAAUGAAUACUUUAAUGAAAAUAAAAAUGCUUUGCGCAUUGAUCUAUAUUACGAUGAUGUUGAGCCAACAAAUGCGCAAGGUUCUCAUACAGUUAUUCAUAAAAUAGGCCUAUUUUAUUUCACGAUCCAAAACGUUGGCGCAGUUUUCAAUUCAGAUUUGAAAAAUAUAUACAUAUUAUGCGCAGCUUAUUCAGAAGAUAUAAAAAAAUAUGGAUUCGAACCAAUUCUUGGUCGUUUUGUUUCAGAAAUGCAAGAAUUAUAUAAUGGAAUAUCAAUUUCAUUAAACAAUGGCGAAAUGUAUGAUCUCCGUGCAGUUCUAAUAAACUUUAUUGGAGACACCUUGGCAGCUCAUGACAUCUUAGGUUUUAGUAGUCCGUCAAGUUCCUUCUUUUGCAGACAAUGUCGUAUAAAUAGAACAGAUUUUCAAACAGACUGGAGGAGUUGGUCUCCUAAUCGUACUGUGGAGAGCCAUAACGUUGAUUUAAGAAAAAUAGAAGAAAAUCAGGAUUUCAUAAAAUUGUGUGGUGUUAAGAAUAAUUCAAUCUUAAAUUCCGUACCAGGUUAUCACUGCACACUUAAUUACAACUUUGACCCUAUGCACGAUAUAUUUGAAGGUGUAGGACCAAAAGUAAUUAAAUUAGUAUUGAAACAUCUCAUUAUAAAGAAAAAAAUUAUGACAUUGUCACAAUUCAAUAACAAUCUUUAUUAUUUCAAUUAUGGUCUUACAGAAACUAAAAAUAAACCGAGCCCAACAUUUACAACCAUGGCAUUGAACUCAAAUUCAAAUUGUAUUAAACAAAAAUCAGUUCAAACGUGGUUGUUGUUGAGGUGCAUACCUUUCAUUUUUCACGGGAUUAUUCCAGAAGAUUGUGAGGAUUACAUAAGAUUAUUGUCCUAUUUGUCUCGAAUCACUUCAAUAGUUUUUUCAAGACAGCUUUCACAAUACAUGAUUACGUUAUUACAUGACCUAAUUGAAAGACAUCAUCACUUAUUUAAAAAACUUUUUCCUGGCGUAAAUAUGAUAAAUAAGCUUCAUCAUAUGUUGCACUACUGUGAGUGUAUUUGGAAUAAAGGUCCACUUUCAAAUAUGUCCUGCAUAAGGUACGAAAGCAAGCAUCUUCCUAUUAAAACGCAAAUUGUUGCAGGGAAAAAUUUUAUCAACGUCCCAAAAAGUAUUAUUAAGCGUCAAGCAUUGAACCAGUGUAAUGACAUAAUUUCAGCUAAGUUUGAUAAAAUAUCCAUGACAAUAAAUUUAAAUACUGAUUGCGCCGACAAUAUUCAAAAAAUUCAAAGUUUUACUAAGAAUAGCGUAGAGUACAAAAAAGGAUUAAUAAUUAAUUUAGAUAAUCUAACAGAAAGUGGUUCUACGUAUCCUGAUUUAUUCCAAAUCGAAGAAAUAUUCAAAAUCAACAACGAAAUACACGUAGAAUGUCAAAAAUUUGAUAUAAUAGAAUAUGAUGAGCUACUAAAUGCAUUUAAAGUUGAAAAGGUAGCGCAAAAAGAGAUUAUUAAUGGCAUUGAUAUAGAUGAUAUUCAUCCAAAUUCUAUUUGGGUUUCAUUUAAUGAAGAAUACGUUUCUGUAAAAUAUUAUUAUUAGUUAAGUAUUGGAUUACAUUACAGAUUCUAGAAAAAAAUCUAAUAUAACCUGUAAAUAUCUAAUGAAAUAUUUUUAUUUAGCAUUAAUAUGAUUCAACGCAGAUUUCUUCCAAAAAUUUUAAUCUAUUUAUUUAAUUAAUUUAUUUAUUUUUAUCUAUUUUUUAACUAUUUAUAUGUAAGUUAGAUAAUUGUAAUUUACGUUAAGAUCAAGGAUUGGAUGAAGACAUACUACAAGACACGACGGAAAAUGACAUUGCUUCCCUCAAUAUUACACUGGCGGAUCGCAAGAGGGUAAUGCGGGUCUUAAGAAUGUUGAAACCAUCCACUUCGUCAUGUGUUGUUGAAGAUAAUAUCAUCAUCUAUGAUCCUGAAGCAGAAAAUUUAAUUCAAGAAGAACAACUAGAAUCUUCUACUCAAGUUCAUGAGAAAGACAUACAUACAGUGUAUCCCAAGGAUCGCAACCUUACCGUUCUUGUGGAACAAAUGACAAGAAAAGGAGCUGAUUAUAAAAAUCUAUAUAAUAAGCUAAUUGCGUCCGAAUUUCUGGAAGAGAUUGAUCAACGCAAAUUGACUGAAAUUAUUGGUCGAGACAUGGUGACAAAAUGUGGAAAUUAUCCAACAACAACAGACAAAAACAAUAUGGGUCAUGCUCUCCUAAAAUCCUUUCCGUACUUGGCUAAAAAGCAACUUCAUCCGCGAACACCGGCUUACAGCCUUUGGUUUGAUGACCAUGGAUCUGUGAAUGGAAAGAAACCUGCUGGUCGUCUCCAACAGUGGUUGGAGAACAAUGCGAGACGUUUGAGACAAGAGGAAAAAAAAUACACUCCGCGCCAACCAAAAAUUCGAAAGCUGAUAGACUCACAAAAUGUCGCAGGGGAAGAAUAUGAGGAUUUUGAAAAACGUCGGGCACUUAUACAGACGUCAAAAUCUGUGGCAGACAUUGUGGACAUGUAUCCCAAUAUUCUUGGGACAAACGGAGAAAUGGUAUAUUACGUGCAUUAUUUUGCAGAAUACGUUUGCAUUUUUUCAGUAUAUUUUAGCUUUGAUUCUUUUUUUUCAGAUCGAUAAUGAUUUUGCUAGACUGUUCGAUCAUGAUGGCAAAAUUGAAAAUAUUAAAAAUUACGUCUUCGACGUAACUUUCACAAGUGAUGACGAAACUCUUCAAUUUAUAUGUGGGGCCCUUGUGGCGUUUGCUUACAAACGCAAUUCACCAACAAGCGCAAUUACAAUCUUCAAGCGGAAUGAAAUAUUGAAACCCCUCGUAAUUUUUGUGGAUCACGAGGACUUCAAGGAGGAAGCGAUGAAUCCAAAACACCCUAAAUACCCGCUGAUACUGUCUUCCAAGUCACAUGAUAUGAGGGCGGUAUGCGUCGAGGGAUUCAUAGUGACAUUGACGUCACCAUCAUUCUUGCGAUGCCUGGACAUACUAUUUAAGCUCUACUUUGUUCUGCAUAUUAAGUUCCCUCCUGUACUGAAACAUUUUCUUUCUUUCCUAAAUAUAUACAUUUAUGAACACAAAAGCAUGAGACCAACUGCCACAGUGGCUAAAAUCGAGCAGAAGCUUUCAAAAAAAAAAUAACGAGUAAACUUUGUAUUAUCCAUGAAGUGCAACUAAUUACUCAUAAUGUAUUAAAACUGCAAAAUCAAAGACAAUAAAGUUCACACAAAAAAAAAGUAAUAUAUAUAAAUGUUUUAAAAGUAAAAGUGCGAUAUAACUAGUUAAUAAUUAUUUUAUUUAUAAUAAUAACUUAAAAAUAAAUCAAACCAGUACGAGAUAGAAUAUUGGCUUACGCGCAAUGGUUUCAUAAAAACUUUAAAAAUCAAAAAAGUUAAGCUGUUUGAUCUUUUUUUUUACGAUAAUCUCUCUUAUAACACUUUAAGUUUAGCAUAUAAGCUUAUCAUUAUAAGUUACAUUAUACCUCUACUUAUAAGUAACUGAUAAAAUAAAAAAAACACAAAAAA